rnacentral:rRNA from 1 species
UACGUAGGGACCAAGCGUUGUUCGGAUUUACUGGGCGUAAAGGGCGCGUAGGCGGUGUUGUAAGUCACUUGUGAAAUCUCUGAGCUUAACUCAGAACGGCCAAGUGAUACUGCAGUACUAGAGUGCAGAAAGGGCAAUCGGAAUUCUUGGUGUAGCGGUGAAAUGCGUAGAUAUCGAGAGGAACACCUGCGGCGAAGGCGGGUAGCUGGGCCGACACUGACGCUGAGGCGCGAAAGCCAGGGGAGCGAACGGG